rnacentral:rRNA from 1 species
UGGGGAAUUUUGGACAAUGGGGGCAACCCUGAUCCAGCCAUUCCGCGUGAGUGAAGAAGGCCUUCGGGUUGUAAAGCUCUUUUGUCCGGAACGAAACGGUUACGGUGAAUACCCGUGACUACUGACGGUACCGGAAGAAUAAGCACCGGCUAACUACGUGCCAGCAGCCGCGGUAAUACGUAGGGUGCGAGCGUUAAUCGGAAUUACUGGGCGUAAAGCGUGCGCAGGCGGUUUUGUAAGCCAGAUGUGAAAUCCCCGGGCUUAACCUGGGAAUGGCAUUUGGGACUGCAAGGCUUGAGUUUGGCAGAGGAGACUGGAAUUCCUGGUGUAGCAGUGAAAUGCGUAGAUAUCAGGAGGAAUACCGAUGGCGAAGGCAGGUCUCUGGGCUGAAACUGACGCUCAUGCACGAAAGCGUGGGGAGCAAACAGG